AAGACGAGCAGGAAUUUGUGGAGAGGAGGAAGUUGGAGCUGGAGGUGUUGGUCAUCUAGCCCACCUAUACCAGGGUGGCAGCUGAUGUUGGCCGAUGUUGUAGCCCUCAGGGGAGUUCACUGGAGAGGAAGAAACUCUGGAUUUCUUGUCUACUCAUAGCUAUGGAACAGGACUGCAAAUAGCUUUCCAGAGACGUCGAGGUUUUAAUCAGUUGCAAUUCCACAUGGACGAAAGACCAAAGAACAAAUAAUUUAUGAGGUGAAGAGCAUAGAUUUAUGCAUUCAUUGGUUAUCUGUGGGACCAAGGAAUGCAUGUUUUAUCCAAACCAGCGUAGAAGUUUAACCCUUUUUUAUUAACAUAUUCCCAAAACCAUUGCAGUAUAGAGCUCAUUGUUAUAUCUUCUCAUGGAUUGCUGUUUGCACUGGGGGUGGGGGACAAAAAUGUCUUGGGUUGCUGCCUGGUGUCCUGAUAAUUUGAUAGGGAAUUUGGCCACAGAAUAACAUGGCUGCACAGUAUAAUGUUUAGCUUUGUGUGGCCACACUUCCUUCCUCUAAAAGCCAAGGUGCAAGGAGGGGGAGUGAAAAGGUGGGACUACUCUGCGUUGCAUCCUUGUACGAGCUGGGAUUUGCCCAGGGCAUAGCCUGUGUCCACCUCAUGAUGGACUCUGGAGUACAUCAGUUCAGAAAUGGCCACAAUAAGUCAGUCCAGCACACAGGGCAGUGAAAAGCUGUAUGACAGCUCCAAGCUUGCCCGUUAGAAAAUUGAGAGAAUAGAAAUCUCUAGGAGAUCUCCUACUUCACUUUGCCUAAAGUCACACAGGCUUUGAAUUCUGAGCUCCAGUCCAGGGCUUUAACCCUUCUGCCAGCAAGUCGCUUGUUCUAAUUAUGAAUGUCCUUGAUUCUUUGAGCCAUUUCUGUUGUAUUUAUCAUCAAAUGGCUCCUUAUCUUGUAGCAAUAAUGCUGUUCAGCUAGGGAAGAGAAUCUUCUAUCCCUAUUUUUGGCUCUUCCAGAAGGAGAAGUACUUAAGAAGAUAAAUAGUAUCUUCUAUUUUGUAGAGGAUAACUGUAUGUAUUAUCACAGGCUUCAGUGUGAAAUAAAUGUGAUUAAAAAUAAGAAAGAAUCUAUGCAUCAAACACUGAGUAUUUUGCUUAAACACAACUACAAUUGUCAAACAGAAGGUCUUGUCUGUGUUCUUUUUCAAAAACUGGUUUAUAAUUGCUGACAUUAUUUCUUGGUGAUUACUGUACAUGGAAGAAAAGUGUGACUGCACUUGUCAGACACUUUUCCUACAUAGUGAUAUUGCUUUUCAGAAAUUAUACAACCUUGUAGCCUAGUGAGAAGUAAAUUAAAAAGCACUGAGAUUUAUUCCCUGAAUUGUAUCUCCAGUUAAAGUUACAAUUGCUCAAAGUAUUGUUUAUUUUUCUUUUAGAAAAAGGCUACUUAGAAUAUGGCUAAUGACAUUUUUGAUAGAGUUAUAAGAAAAUGUGCUUACAUAAUACUUGACUUCAAAAUCACAUGGAAACAUUGUA